rnacentral:rRNA from 1 species
UACGGGGGGGGCGAGCGUUGUUCGGAAUUACUGGGCGUAAAGGGUUUGUAGGUGGUCUGCUAAGUCAGACGUGAAAUCCCUCAGCUUAACUGGGGAACUGCGUCUGAUACUGGCGGACUUGAGGACAGGAGAGGAACGCGGAAUUCCAGGUGUAGCGGUGAAAUGCGUAGAUAUCUGGAGGAAUACCGGUGGCGAAGGCGGCAUCCUGGACCGACAUUGACGCUGAACGGCGAAAGCUAGGGGAGCAAACGGG